CCUACGGGAGGCAGCAGUGGGGAAUAUUGGACAAUGGGGGGAACCCUGAUCCAGCGACGCCGCGUGAGUGAAGAAGUAUUUCGGUAUGUAAAGCUCUAUCAGCAGGGAAGAAAGAAAUGACGGUACCUGACUAAGAAGCCCCGGCUAACUACGUGCCAGCAGCCGCGGUAAUACGUAGGGGGCAAGCGUUAUCCGGAUUUACUGGUUGUAAAGGGAGCGUAGACGGCGAUGCAAGUCUGAAGUGAAAGGCGGGGGCCCAACCCCCGGACUGCUUUGGAAACUGGAUGGCUGGAGUGCAGGAGAGGGAAGUGGAAGUCCUAGUGUAGCGGUGAAAUGCGUAGAGAUUAGGAGGAAAACCAGUGGCGAAGGCGGCGUACUGGACUGUAACUGACGUUGAGGCUCGAAAGCGUGGGGAGCAAACAGGAUUAGAUACCCUUGUAGUC
rnacentral:rRNA from 1 species